AGUGAACGCUGGCGGUAGGCCUAACACAUGCAAGUCGAACGGCAGCACAGUAAGAGCUUGCUCUUACGGGUGGCGAGUGGCGGACGGGUGAGGAAUACAUCUGAAUCUACUUUUUCGUGGGGGAUAACGUAGGGAAACUUACGCUAAUACCGCAUACGACCUACGGGUGAAAGCAGGGGAUCUUAGGACCUUGCGCGAUUGAAUGAGCCGAUGUCGGAUUAGCUAGUUGGCGGGGUAAAGGCCCACCAAGGCGACGAUCCGUAGCUGGUCUGAGAGGAUGAUCAGCCACACUGGAACUGAGACACGGUCCAGACUCCUACGGGAGGCAGCAGUGGGGAAUAUUGGACAAAGGGCGCAAGCCUGAUCCAGCCAUACCGCGUGGGUGAAGAAGGCCUUCGGGUUGUAAAGCCCUUUUGUUGGGAAAGAAAAGCAGCAGGUUAAUACCCCGCUGUUCUGACGGUACCCAAAGAAUAAGCACCGGCUAACUUCGUG
rnacentral:rRNA from 1 species